CGGGGGCGGCGGCGUGGCGUACCGCGUGCGCCCCGGUCCCACCUGUGUUGUUUUUCGGACUACCAAACAGCUGGAGAAUGAAAUGGAGCCUGAUGAUAUGAAUGAGUAUUACCAGGAUAUACAGGACAUUCUCGGCCAAUAUAACUGGCUCUAUGAUUUUCAAAUGACACACAUGUUCACAGCUCAUGUGUUUGAGCACAUGCCAGAUGAGUGGCAGGAGUUUGGACAGAAUGUAUCUGUUGAAACAUUGCACAGUAUAGCUCAAGCUACUCCCAAGGACGGGUGGCCGACCGACCUGACCUCACUGGUGCGUCGCUGCGGCCGGCUGCG